AUUCUGAUCCAAGCUAUACGUUCUUAUGCUUGAAUUAUAAUUCACUGAUUCCAGCUUUCCAAAUCAGUUUCCAAGAUUUCCCAAAACAAGAAAGAGAUCCAAUUUUGGUGAAUUCAGAAAGAAGAUUUUCCUCAUUUCCUACUCAUAUCAAGGUUACCUCCUACUUUACUUUCUCCAUACAUUCAUUUGUUAAAUUACAAAACUAUGAUUCAAAUGAAAACAGAUCGAACACACGCAUCCAUUACCACUUCUUUUAGACUAUUAUUGUUUCAAUUACAUCAGCUUAUUACCAUCAGAGAACCACCAACAGAAUAAUACACACGCACACAUUUUACUAUAUUCUCUAAUCUAUUACAUGUACAAUCAGUUUUAAUAAAAAGGAAAUGAAUGAUUGAAAGAACAGAUUUUUAAAACCCUAACUUGUUCUAUAUUUUGAAUCUGGACUGAAAAAUUUGGAGAGUUCCUUGUGUUUUGCUUGCGUGUGUGUUGUUCGAAUCGUGAGAGGGGAAGGAGGGAGCAGCAGACGGCUGUUCGGCGCCGGCAACGGCGGCGCGGCGGCAACUGUCGUCCAGUCCCUGUUCUGCCAAAACGAGAGAGAAGGGAAAGGGGGAGAGAUUAGAUUAUAACAAAAAAGAA